rnacentral:lncRNA from 1 species
GCUCUAAAGCCAUACAUGAUCAAAUAUUCCAAAAGACCUUAGCUAAUUCUAUUUAUACUUUGUUCUACUACUCUAGACUUUCUAGAACGUUCCUAGAUGAUGAAUCCCACUUAGAUAAUUACCUUAAAUUAUUUUUAGAAGGUUCUUUGGUAGAUUCUAUUUAAAUAACCAUCUUAAACUCUUUUUAGAAUGUUCCACGAUGGAUUCUAUUUAGUCCACUAAUCUAAUUCUAAUUUUAAAAACAUUCAUAACUUCUCAAAUAUGGUUCUA